rnacentral:rRNA from 1 species
UACAGGGGGCUCGAGCGUUAGUCGGAAUCACUGGGCUUAAAGGGUGCGUAGGCGGCCCGCCAAGUGCUUUGUGAAAUCCCACAGCUCAACUGUGGAACAGCAGGGCAAACUGGCGGGCUUGAAGCAGGUAGGGGCUGGAAGAACAGUUGGUGGAGCGGUGAAAUGCGUAGAUAUCAACUGGAAUGCCGAUGGGGAAGCCGUCCAGCUGGGCCUGUCUUGACGCUGAGGCACGAAAGCGUGGGGAGCAAACAGG